rnacentral:siRNA from 1 species
GGCUUCCAAGACUCGGCUGAUGG